CCUCUCGUAGCUGAGCGGUCAGAACAUUGGUGCGUAAAGCCAAAGGUCCCGGGAUCGAUUCCCGGCGACAGCA
rnacentral:tRNA from 1 species